AUGUUCGUGCUUCAGGGGCUGCCACGUGCUGUCCUCGCCGCCAUCGCCAGUCGAUGCCACUUCAGCGCCACGAGCAUGGGACUGAGGGACGAAGGGAAGAGAAGGGAAGGAAGCGAGCUAAUGACGUACCUAUGUUUGGGUGACGCGAAACUAAACCGGUGGGGUGGGGGAGGGACGAAAAAAACCAGUGAAAUAAAACGGGUGGGAGGUGGGAGAAAGUACCAAAGAAGUACCAAAAAAGACCGGGUGAGCAUAUGCGUCGCAGACUCGCGGAUCGUGACCCAGCCCAACACACGGAGCCCAGCCUUCUGUCUAGCCCAGCCCAAGUUGGCUUUCAGGAUUAAUCUAGGUAUUUUCCUCCCUGUCCCCAACCUCCCCCCAUUCCUCUCGAGUCCUCCCACGCCGGCCGCCGCCCAUCGUCAGACAUUGCGACUCCUUUGCGCGGCCGCGACCUACAUGCCGGCGAGCCUCCCGUCACCACUCCCCUGCGACCCUCCACCCCGGCGCGCCGCCCCUCAUCACCACUCCCCUGCGACCCUGGAUCCUGGUGCGCCGCCCCUUGUCACUGCUCCACUGCGACCAACGGCGAAUCCAAAUUCAACACUGCUGACCUCCGAGUCCCGCGCCCCAUGCUCCAACCUUGGACUUCUUCCCAGGGACAUGAAUGGUAGCGUUCCAGUCAGUACUACAAAUUCAUCUGGACCAACCAUUGGUGUUAGCUCUUUGGUGACUAAUGACAACUCAUCACUUUCAGGAGGUGCCCAGUUUCAGCAAAUCUACCUGGCUUACAGUGCACAUGCUGCAGCCAGGAUUGCUGUCUUUUCCCUUGUGAAAUAA
rnacentral:rRNA from 1 species